CUCCAACUGGGACUAGAAAACAGCACUGAAAACAAUCUGGAGAAGAACAAUUCUUCUAGAAAGAAUCCUGCACAUCUACCAACCGGCUCCCACAAACAAAGAACAUCGCGAUGGCAACGUCUGCCUUCCCCAGCAGAGCCGCGGCGCUCAGGACCGCCCCGGAACGCAGAACUUUCUACCGCCGCAGCCGCGCUCGGAACGCGUUCAGAAAGCCGCGCCACUUCACGGAGCCACCAACGCCGCCGGAUCCCGCGCGCCAGCUGCGCAUCCUCCGAAGCCCUCCGUGCGCUCGACCCCCUCCUGCCCCGCGACGCGGCGGCCUCUGCGCUCCAACGCCGCGCCGACAUCCCGGGCCGGCCGGGAGCGCGGCACUCCGCACCGGGCGGCGGCACUCCGGGGCCGCAGCGCGGCCCUCCCUCCCCCGCCGCAGCUCUGCCCGGCGCGGAACGCGCCCCCUGCUGCCUCCCGCACUCAUCUCCCGGGCGGGCUGCGGUGCAUUUUGGGUGGGGGCUGGUAUUUUUCUGCCACGGCCAUCCAGCGGGAGCGACAGCCCGGGUGUAAUGCGGCGGGGAGGGGGAAAGCGAAAUAGGGGGGGGGGAAGAAAAAAAAAAGAUAAGAAAUGAAAGGAGGGACGGCGCCGUCCGCGCCGCGAGCGCUGCAGAACGCGCUGCCCUCCCGCCCGGGCUGCGAGGCGCGGUGCCGGCUGCGCAGAGCCCCGCUCCCCGCCUUUGUCUGAGCGGCGGAACGCGCCGCGUCCCGGGGCUGCUCCCUUUCCCCGCCCGCGCUGAGCCCGGCCCGGCCCCGCUCCGCAUCGCCGCGCGCUGCCCCCGCCGGCCGGGAGCGCGGCACCGCACGGAGGGCGCCGGCGGCGUAGCGGUCCCCGCGUCCGAUGCGGAGGGCCGGAGCGGGGCCGGAGCCCCUCGGCGCCGCCGCUCUCCUCUUCAGAGGGGCCGCUCCGCCGGGCCGAAGGACGGGGGGCGCGGAGGGCGGGGGCCGCCCGGGCCGGAGCGCGGCGCACACCUACCUGAGCGCGGCUCUCCUCGCGGCGGGGGCGGGCGCUGUCCCGGCACCUCCGGCGCGGGGCGAGGGGCGCGGAGCCGCCUCCCGGCGCCGCCCGGAUCCCCGCGCGGGCGGAGCGCUGCGCAGCCGGCGGCGGCGGCGCGGGGGAGACAAAGGGGGCUGGAAGGCGGCGGGGGAGGAGGGGGCAGUGUGCGGAAGGGGACGCUACGGUGAGCGGCGCCCCAGCGGGGCGGGGGCGGCGGCGGCACUGGGCUCGGUCCCCGGGGCGGGGGUGCGGGGCCGCGGGCGGGGGGGGGCUCCCUGCAGACAAUACAGCCGGGUCCCUCCUGCCCAGAACCUGCCCUGGCCAAGAUGGCGGCCGAGAAAGAGCGGAAGUGACGCGAGACUCUCAUUAGCAUACGGGACUCAUUGUCCGGCGGGAGGGGACGGGGCCGCGGCCUGGUGGGGAGGGGUCCCGAGCCCCGCCGCGUUCCCGCCGGCCGAGUCCCCAUCCCCGCCCCGCGGGGCGCACCCCGACCGCCGUGCUGAGGCUCGCGCGGCCGCCGAACCGGUUCGGGAGCGGGCGGAGGGGGGGGGAGAAAGUGGGGGGGCUCUCGCGAGAAGGACGGAGGCGGCCGCCGGCGGCGGGAUCUACCCCGGCCCCGCUAGGAGGCGCCACGCCCUGCGGCUGGGGCCGGAGCGGGAGCUGGCGCCGCCCGGUUAUCCCUCCGCCGCCGCCAGCCGGGACUACAUCCCGUCCUGGGGCCGCCGCCGCCGUCGGGCGGGGGGCACGCGCCUGGUGAGCCGCGCGCCCACGUGAUCGCGCGCUGCGCACGUGACCUCGGGGCCGGCGGUACGCUGUCUCGUGCGGCGCCUCAGGACGUUCCCGCCUCGCGCAUCGCCGCUCCUGAGCCUCGUCCGCAUCGCGGCAGAGCCGCCGCCCGAGGCGGGAGGGGAGACCGAGGAUGAGAGACUUCGAGCGGGGCGAGGUCACCCGAGGCACCUGAAGGUGUUAGGGCGUGAAGCGAGAAUUAGGUGUGCCGAAGGAGGGCAGAGCUCGGCCUGCAGCUCGUCCUGCUCUGAGCGCAGGCGUGUCCGUGCCCUCAGGAGCGCAGCCUGACGCAGCCGUGAGGGGGAAGUGGGGCGUGGCUGCACCUCAGGAGUACCCCGACACCGGAGGAGAAGUGCCGUCCGUUCCCGCCUGAUUUGUUAGAGCAGUGCCUGAGAGUUAAAUGUGUAGGAAAGUCACCGUGGCUUCAGAUAUCAUAAAGCAACACAUCACUGCAUUUCUGCAUGGCUCGUAUCCUGCAAGCCUUCAUCGCUGCCUUUAUCGCAGUUCACAUAAGUAGCUUUCAUGAAGGUGUCAGUGACGUUUUAUUUGCUACCUUUCUUUAAGAAUUUCUAAUUUGACAGUUUAGAAGCACACUGCUUGCAAAUCAUACCUUCAUUUCACCAUACGUUCUCAAUGUCUUCGCAUCAGCAUCCAUAAGAAUGAGUAAGUGAUGGAAAGUCUUUGUUUUACAACAGAAUGGAUGCACACAAAACUUACCUGCAACAGCAAAUGGUGAUUUAACACAAGAAGGGAGGGUUUCUGGAGCCCGAGCACCAGAAGAACAAAUCCCUGAAGUCUGAAAGAUGGAUUUCAGAAAACUCAGAAGUGCCAUAUGGUGAGAGGAACAAAGUUCCAUGGAAUACAGAAAUGAAAUUAGAAAUAGCAAUUCGAUUUUAUAGAUAAUUAAGGGGACAAAAACGAGUUUGUGUGUUAAUAGUCGGGCGUUCAGCAGGGGAAAUCAAGAGCUCCUGGACAUCUUCGCUCUUGCAAGUGAUUGCAAGUGUAUCAGACUGUCAGCGUAACUUUGUCUCUUGAGCUUGUUUCUUGUUGCUCACCAGAAUAGCCUCAGGCUGGCAGCUUGCUGAAAGCCCUAUGACCACUUCCUCAAGAGCUGACAGCAUUGAGGAAUUUCCAUCUGGAAAAAUCUUUUCAGCCAUGUUCUGAUGAUGGCACCCAGUCCAGAACUAGGCCAAAAGAUGUAUGGAAAGCAAACUGGAAAGGGUUUGGAAACUCAAAUUGGGUACAAGAGGAAUUAAAUUGUGUAUGGAUGGAAAGCAAAGCACCAGAACGCAAAAAUAGCUGCUGAGUGCACAAGACUGGUGAUGCAGGCAGAGUUUAUUAAGGCAGAGAGAGAAGAGCAGGAGGGAAAAAUAAUGUAGUGGCAAUAGCUUGAGCAAGUGGGAGCCGUUGCCUGUUUUGGCAUAAAUCCUGUGAGGAUGGGACUGAGAAGAUUCUGAGGUGAGGAUAGGACAGUACCUGUUGUAAGAAUCCUGAAGCGAUGGGCGAGAUGGGCAAGAUCUUGAUCUCACUUAAUGAGAGUUUUCUGGAUGAUUUGCACAGUACCACCAUUGUCAACAUUUAUCAAGUUAAAAAGAAAGAUGGGAGUAAUACAAAGCUUGCAUGAGAAGGUUGAUUUGAAAGGUAAAAUUCAGACAGCAGGGAAGAAGGAGAAAUAAGCCUUGAGUUCAUUUUUCUGCUGUGUGUAAGUGAGGUGUACAAAAUGAAACAAAAUGUCAUGAUAAUAUUCUUAAUAUGCAUUUUGUAUGAUGGAAGUGGGUAUUGUUUUUCACAAGAGGCUCUGACAACCAGUAAAAUUGUAGCAUUGUAGGAGGCUAAACAUUUAACACUAGCAGCAACACAAUUAGAGUUCCGGAGUUGAAUAGGUAUGAUUGACGGUGUGUUGUGCUCCUGUUCAGGUCAAAAUUGUGCCUGUAUUUACAAUUGUAUUAGCUUAGCAGCAGCACUAUCUUUGUUUGAAUGCAAACUAACUCAGCCAACUAUCAAUGGCUGUAAGCACCUAACAUAAUUAAUUAUAUAAUAAAUACAAUUAAGGUUAAUCCUCAGCAGCACUAAGAUCCCAGUCUCACAGGAAUGGAGCCCUCCAGCUCCCUUGUCAUUUAAGACACUUCAUCAUCUGUCAGCAUUCUCUAACUUUCCUCCCUAAAGACAACUUAGGCAAAAAUCACCAGGAAGGAGCCAAAUUCGGUCUGUAUUGAGAUGAAAGUAGGGAAGAACUUUGCCUUCUCACUCCCUUGUCCAUUUCCUCCCCUCCCUUGUCUUUAAGAAAAGAAAAGAAAAGAAAAGAAAAGAAAAGAAAAGAAAAGAAAAGAAAAGAACACCAAAACCCUCCUAUUGAGAAGAUCUGUGAUAAGAACUGUGUAAGAUUGAUUUAGUUAGUUGAUUAGGAUAACUAGGAAGGAAUGUCAAUCUCUUAGACCAGUAAGAAAUAUAUCUGUCAUAAACAACACGUAAUUUUCACUUGGAAGCUGGUCAGUCAAAUAUACUGUCCUUUGGAGGUGAUGUUCUGCCAUGACAAACCACACUGUUUUUGUGGAAAUAAGAUUGACACCUUCCAUGUUGUCAACACUUUCAAAAUGAAUUCAGAUUGAGGAUUUUCUUAAUGAAAGAUGUAAACUAAAAGUCUAAUUAAAAAUUACCUAACUUCAAAAUUUCAAUAAUUUAGCAUUCUCAUGCAGCUUGUCUCUUUUACUUCUCCUGCAUUCAAGCUCUAAUACCAAAUAAUACAAUUAUUUUAACAGGAUCAGCCCAUCAAAAUACCACCAUAUGCCUUCCUUGCAAGAGCAAGCAGAAUGGAAAAAUGGAGUAGAAAUGAGAGCUCUGUGAACACAUUCGAGUCAUGACAUGAACUUCACCAGGUAGUUAGUAAAUCUGGUUAUUUUUUUUCUGUGGAUUGUUCUUGCACAGAAGUGGUGGGCUGGAAGGCAUCCGGGAAUUCUCUAGCAGCAACUAGGAGCUUAGUCAGGAUCUUUCCUGUUCUGGAAGGCAAAGGUAGAAGUAUCAUUUUGUACUCAGAUCUUUCCCUUUCUGAGAGCACAUCAUUUUAGGAACUAGAUAACCAUCCUCAGCCUCCCAGCAAACAUCAGGUUUUCAAUUGUGUUCACCUGUUGCUAGAGGUGUAGGAAAACAAAACAAAACAAAGAAGGAUAAAAAGUGCUGAGAGCCAAACACAAGUCUUUUAAGGUGCACUAUUGUUAUCAAUGUCUUUUGAACUGCCACUACAGCUAACCUUGCAUUUUAAUACCUUUGCCUUUUGCUGCUUUGUUGAAAUCCCUCUCUGAAACUAAGUUUUCAGGUCUAAUUUUGGAUUAAAAGUUGCAUUUUGGUUUUGUUCUCCCCAGUCCCAAUAUACUUCCCUCUGAUAAAUAACAAUCACAAUACAUAAGAUGCUAUGCAUGGCCACUGUGCCUGAAGAAAAAAGGUGAAAUUUGACAGGAUCACAGAGGAGAAAAUGAUGCUCCAAAAGUUUCUGUGCUUUAUAGAAGUUCUGUGAUUACCUUUUUUAGUCAUGUCUUUUACAAUGUGACACCUUGGGGGUACUGUGUCAUAACACAGUGAUAACAUUUGAUAAGCAAUCCUCUUGUCUGUGUAUAGUCUGUUCUUAUUGAUCCUAAUGUUAAAAUGUGCCUACUGCUCUGAAAUUCUAACUGGUGAAAAGCUGUCGCUGAAGUCCAAUGUACUGAACUCAGUAGGCAAUCUGUCAUUUAAUUCAGUUGUGCCAAGAUUUCAAUCCAUGCUUAUACUAGUCAUCUUGAUAGACCCUUAGAUAAAUAUUAUUGAUUAGUCAUUACUAUUUUUUACUGUUGAUACACAGAAGGUUGUGCAGCCUUGCAGUUGGCUUUCUACACAGUCCCAUGGAAAAUCUGUUUUGUUGUAUUGCCCAUAUCAGAACUAGGCACAUCUUUAUUGCAGGCACAGAUUAGAGAUUCAUAUUUUAAAAACAAACCAAAACUGAAGCCAACUUCCCACUACUUCAGAUCAGACAACUCUUCACCUCAAUACCCAAAUGAAAUAAACUAGGGAUAUUAUUUUGCUACUGAUUUCCAGUUCAGUUGGAUAUGUUAACCAGGGGUUGGUUGUGAAGAAGUGGUUGUCCCAGCUUUGGGAUCGUAAUGAUGUAGUCAGAAGGAUUCAAUUUGUCCUUGUGUGAUUCACAUGACUAAGAGUGAGAAAUUCCACAUCUCGGGGCAUGGGUUUUGGAAGGUAUUAAGGGCAUGAUGAGACAGCUACUCACAGCCCAGCUGCCACGUAGUAUAGUUGAUCAGGUGGUAAGUCCAUUGACAAUACGUGAUAUCGGCUUCAGCAGCCCCUAGUGGUGUUUCUUUCCAAAACUGGGGCUUUGGUUUGUACACCAAACAUCUUCAGUACAAGCUUGCUUAGGUCAUUUAGCACAGCUCUGACUAGAGAUGUACAUUGAAAUGUCCUCACAAACCACACAGAGUGCAAGCACCUCACACAAGUUAACGAUAAUAUAAUAAGCUGUGUGAAACACUAUGCAAAAGUUUGCAACCUGUUCUGUAACAUCAAGCCUGUAGGGACUAUAUUCCUGAGGUUUAGCACACACUUUGGCUUCUUUCAUGGAUUUGAACAACUGAGCCUGGUGUGUGAGUCUUUUCACACAUCAGAGUGACCCACUAGUCCACAAUGAAAAGAAGAGGUCUCUCCCCCAUAGCCUUGUCCAUUUGCCAAAGGAAGUAAUGAGUUUUCUGCUCAGGGGAGAGGAUGUGUUACUGGUACAAAACGUGAGUUACCUCCUCCUCCCUCUUCAUUGGCAUGCCCAACCAAACGCAUCCAUGAUAUACACAGAUUUAAGCCAGGAAGGAACUAAAGCUCCUGUUCUUGCCAAAUGAUUGAGUGCUAGCAGACACAAAUUCUUAAGGAAGUAUAAUAGAGAAAGUAAAGUACAUUAGCAGUACAUUGUGCUUUCAUAGGAAAUGAAUAUGGAUGUAAUUAAGAAAAGCUGAUUUAUGCGGAACUGUAAAACCAGGGACAUAGAGUGAAAAAUUUCCUGUAAAUGUCAAUUCAGAGUUUUGUGGUGGCCAAAAACAAGGCAAGCAGAGUAUUGCAAUGUUAUUAAGAAAGGAACUGAAACCUAAAAUGCUGCUGUAUAAAUCCCCAGUACACAUUUAAGACAUUGCAUGGAGUUCUGGGCACUUGACCCCUAACAACAAUAGAAUUGUAAUCUGUUACUAAUAGUUUGAGAAUAGGUGGUGGGUUCUGUCUGAGGAACUUAAAAAAAAAAAAACAAGCAGGACUAAGUACAAUGUGGAGAAAAAGCAGUGUCUAUAAAAUAAAGCACAAGAAAACAGGGAAACAGUGGGGAACAUCUGAUGAACUUAUUAGGUGAUAAGUUUAAAAUAGAGUACUUCACAAAAUACUUGUACAAAUUGCUGAACUUGCUGCCACAGGAUGCUGCAGCGGACUACAAAGACUAAAAAGCAACCAGACUAAUCCACAAACCAUGACCAUGUCUAGAACUUUGUGAUCUCUGGCCCUAGAAGACCCCAUAUUGCUGACUGCUGGUAUGUUUGGGCAAAGAUCAUAGUAACUGUAUUUCUUACUGCUUAGAAACAGCACAGCUAUUCUCAUACAACUUCUUAUAUUACAGGCCAGUAUUUUCCUACAAUACAUUUUCUUUUUGUUUGUUUGUUUUAUGCUAAGAAUUUAUAUAAGCAGUCUUCCAAUACAAAGAGGCUUGUUUAAAAGAAGCUGAGAACAAACUAAAGUAACUCAGAGGGUUUAUAUUAACAAAUACUCCCAAACAACCUAAGUAGCACUAUGUGAAGGCUAUUUCAUCCCAUUUUGUAUUUAAAAGAUACUGGCUUUACUGAAGAAGGACUUCUAUUAGAACUCUGACCCCUGGUUAUACUUUUACAAUAUUCAUUUUUGUACAAAUUUUCACAGCAGUACAUGCAGAAGAAAAGGUCUUACUUAAAAGGCCGUCUUGGAGCUUGUUUUUGCAGUUUUCCCACAUAAAGAACACUUACUCGAGUACUAGCCAGGUUCUAAAGUGCUCAAACAGGGAAUAUAUUAGAAUCAGAUGUUUUUAGUCACCACAGUGACUGAACAUUAACACAGUACUAUUUGAGGAUUCUCUCCUCUGCGUGUGCAAAGAAGGCCAAGCACACGAGCAGCAGCUACUUCUAAGUUCAGGCUUUUUAAAUGUGCAGUAAGGAAACAUUUGAAAGGAACAGAGCUACACUGCAGCUGGCAGUUCAGCAGUGACAUUCUUAAUUCUGCUUCUUUCCACUGGAUCCAUGUUACUAUUCAUCACUUUCAGUAGCAUUUUCUACCUCUGUACUGACACCAUGGAACACAUGCUGUAGGUUUUUCUUUCUUUAUGACUUAAUUCCAUUACCUUUAAGCACAGUCAGAAACUGCCUGCUGGCCAGUCAUGCUUCCAGCUUAUACCAACAUACCACAAAACACAGAAUACACUGCAUAUAGUUAUAUGUAAAUCAUCUUACUUCAAACACCAUCUCAUAAGUAGACACAAUGACUUUGCAAUUAAGGAAAUUUACCAGAAACGUACAUUCCAAUUCACAGCAGUUAGGUCACAAAGAACUAAUAGAACGGAGAUCAGUUACACACAAGUCUGAGAAAAUACAAUCUUGUUGAGGCUCAGCAUAUAUUCCAGUGAAAGUCUGGAUGAGCUUUUAAGAACUAUUUGGUAAUUAAAAUUAUGCCACAAAUGCUCCAAACAAAGCACAGAUAGAUGAAAUCUAAUCACACGAGAUUUCAAUGGGCCCCUACACCCAGAGAUUACAUGUUACCAGAUCAGAUUAGCCUGCACCAAAUUAAAUCACACAGCAAUGGACAUGAUUUGCUCAAAAAGUACAGGCAAAUCACAGAACAUAGAGCUGAACCUCCACAUAACUGAAUUACAGCAAUUCAAAAACCCACAGCUACAUUUUUAUUAUUUUAAAGCAAAUGAGACAAAAUAUUUGCCUCAAGUACUCAGAAAAGGAGAAAAAUAUCAGAAUAUGUAUAACUUCACUAAAGAACAAAGGAAUGUCUCUAAUUAAAACAGCCCACUAGGCACUAAGUUUUCAUUUUGGAGUUUUGUGGUUUUACUUUUAGUCAGGGAGUGGUAUCUAUUUUAUAACGAGUUAUCUGAAAUAGGAUUUUAUCAUUUAUCUGCAGCCUUGUUAUGUUUAUUGAAUACUAACAACCACAUUUAAUAUACUACAGGAAUGUGAACGGAUACAAUCUAAAUAGGCUCAGAGAUGUGCUGAUUCUCCUCUCCCACCGAAUAUACUUAUUUCAGAAAACAAAGAACUACCCUUUCCCACUACCAAAAAUUCUUGAGGAUGUAUUUUUCAUACAUACAAAGCCAUUAUCAGAAUAAUUUCUUUAACUUUUUUUUUUUUUUGCUUAUUUUUACUUUUGUUCCCAAAAUGCACGUUUGAUUGCAAGGGCUUCAUUUCUGAUUUCUGACUAGAUCAAACAGUGAAACAUAAACAGGAUUACAUUGCUGUAUUUCUUUCAUCAGGUUCUGGAACAAGUACAGCUGUUACAUUGCAAAAGAUUAUUUGGCACACAAAGAAUCUCUCUGAUGUCUUUGGUGAGGUGAUAUGGAUCUUCUACUACCCUAACAUUGGGCAAGAUGUUAUCCUCUUGUUUUAGAUUCUAAAAAAAUAUUUAAUUUCUUAAAAAAAAUGGACAAAGGAAUCAUCUAUUUCUGGACAUGCACACAGAAUACAAAAAUAUCCCAGAAUAAUUCUUUCUACCCCCCAAAAUAUUCCAUCUUCGAAAUAAUUUUUCAAAGAACAAAUCAUUGUAUUUUAUCUGUAUUACUUCUUGAACAACACAAGUUGUUGUCAGUUUUGGAAAAACACCUUUGCUCAACUCUAAGAACCAUAGAUGUCUGUGUUGAGGAAAGAAAGCAAACUCACUGUUAUAUAUUGAAAAUACUAUCUGCAGAACACAGAACAAAGAUAAGAAAUCCUCUAUAUUUAUGACCUUACUGUCUUUAGUUCAAAAUCAUCUUUAAACUUCUGCUGAAUAAUGAAUCAUUUCUAAAUGCAAAAGAUCACUUAGCUCUGUUUGUGUUCUUUAUUAAGACAUCAUUAUUUAUUUAUACAAAAGUAACAUAGGGUAUAUGUCUUCAUUUUGACUAGUUUUACAUACAGUUCAUUUAUUUUGAAAGGUUGCAAUGCAGUCCAUUUAGUUAAUUAUUAUGUUAGUUUAUAGCAGGUCUUCUGGUCACCAGGCAGAUUAUCAAGCUUCUGCUGUCAUAUGCUAAAAACCACAGCAACGGCAGAAAGUGUUUUUCUAAAAAAGUAAUUUAGGAGUAAGUCUUAUGUGGUAGCAAACAAUGUCAAGAGUCCCUUUAAGAAGGAGACUAUUUCAUUGCCUCCCAGUUUAGAUUCUCCAUAGACACGGUCAACAAAUGAAAUAGGAACCUCUCCAAUCGUAUAUCCUAGCUGUCUGGCCCGAACAAUCAUUUCCAUCUGGAAGACGUAUCCUUUAGAAACACAUUUUUCCAUCAAUUUCUCUAAGACUUCUUUUCUGUAUAACCUGAAACUCCCUGUUAAAUCUGAUGCACCUGGCCUCAGCAAAACCUGAGUUAUGAAAUUGGCACCACGACUGAUUAAUUUUCUUUUCAAAUCCCAGCC
rnacentral:lncRNA from 1 species